UGGCGAUGCGUCUUAAGCAUGCAAGUCGAGCGGGCUUAUUCGGGCAACUGGAUAAGUUAGCGGCGAACUGGUGAGUAACACGUAGGUAAUCUGCCGUAGAGUGGGGGAUAACCCAUGGAAACAUGGACUAAUACCGCAUAUACUCUUGCUACAUAAGUAGAGUAGAGGAAAGGAGCAAUCCGCUUUACGAUGAGCCUGCGGCCUAUUAGCCUGUUGGUGGGGUAACGGCCUACCAAAGCUACGAUAGGUAGCCGACCUGAGAGGGUGACCGGCCACAUUGGGACUGAGAUACGGCCCAGACUCCUACGGGAGGCAGCAGCUGAGAAUCUUCCACAAUGGACGAAAGUCU
rnacentral:rRNA from 1 species